rnacentral:rRNA from 1 species
CCGUGAACCUUUACUAUAGCUUGACACUGAACAUUGAGCCUUGAUGUGUAGGAUAGGUGGGAGGCUUUGAAGCGUGGACGCCAGUCUGCGUGGAGCCGACCUUGAAAUACCACCCUUUAAUGUUUGAUGUUCUAACGUGGACCCGUAAUCCGGGUUGCGGACAGUGUCUGGUGGGUAGUUUGACUGGGGCGGUCUCCUCCUAAAGAGUAACGGAGGAGCACGAAGGUUGGCUAAUCCUGGUCGGACAUCAGGAGGUUAGUGCAAUGGCAUAAGCCAGCUUGACUGCGAGCGUGACGGCGCGAGCAGGUGCGAAAGCAGGUCAUAGUGAUCCGGUGGUUCUGAAUGGAAGGGCCAUCGCUCAACGGAUAAAAGGUACUCCGGGGAUAACAGGCUGAUACCGCCCAAGAGUUCAUAUCGACGGCGGUGUUUGGCACCUCGAUGUCGGCUCAUCACAUCCUGGGGCUGAAGUAGGUCCCAAGGGUAUGGCUGUUCGCCAUUUAAAGUGGUACGCGAGCUGGGUUUAGAACGUCGUGAGACAGUUCGGUCCCUAUCUGCCGUGGGCGCUGGAGAACUGAGGGGGGCUGCUCCUAGUACGAGAGGACCGGAGUGGACGCAUCACUGGUGUUCGGGUUGUCAUGCCAAUGGCACUGCCCGGUAGCUAAAUGCGGAAGAGAUAAGUGCUGAAAGCAUCUAAGCACGAAACUUGCCCCGAG